CCCUUAUUCCAUGUUGCCAGCACGUAGUGGUGGGGACUCAUGGGAGACUGCCGGGGUCAACUCGGAGGAAGGUGAGGACGACGUCAAAUCAUCAUGCCCCUUAUGUCUUGGGCUUCACGCAUGCUACAAUGGCCGGUACAAUGGGUUGCGAUACUGUGAGGUGGAGCAAAUCCCAAAAAGCCGGUCUCAGUUCGGAUUGGGGUCUGCAGG
rnacentral:rRNA from 1 species